UACGUAGGGUGCGAGCGUUGUCCGGAAUUAUUGGGCGUAAAGGGCUCGUAGGCGGUCUGUUGCGUCAGGAGUGAAAACUCGGGGCUUAACCCCGAGCCUGCUUCUGAUACGGGCAGACUAGAGGUAUGCAGGGGAGAACGGAAUUCCUGGUGUAGCGGUGAAAUGCGCAGAUAUCGGGAGGAACACCAAUUGCGAAGGCAGCUCGCUGGGACGUUACUGACGCUGAGACGCGAAAGCAUGGGGAGCGAACAGG
rnacentral:rRNA from 1 species